rnacentral:rRNA from 1 species
ACAGCAGUCGCCGCGGUAAUACAGAGGGUGCGAGCGUUAAUCGGAUUUACUGGGCGUAAAGCGUGCGUAGGCGGCUUUUUAAGUCGGAUGUGAAAUCCCUGAGCUUAACUUAGGAAUUGCAUUCGAUACUGGGAAGCUAGAGUAUGGGAGAGGAUGGUAGAAUUCCAGGUGUAGCGGUGAAAUGCGUAGAGAUCUGGAGGAAUACCGAUGGCGAAGGCAGCCAUCUGGCCUAAUACUGACGCUGAGGUACGAAAGCAUGGGGAGCAAACAGGAUUAGAUAUCCCGGUAGUCCCUGUCUCUUAUAC